rnacentral:ncRNA from 1 species
AGUUUGACAAUGAAAAAGAGGAGUAGAAGAUCAGAUCUUUGCAGAGACAAGGUGGCUGGUGAAAACCUUGAAGAUCUUUUUUUUGAAGGCUGCUUUGGAGUUGAACCGCUCUUCGCGUUAUCGAAGAAUCAAGCGCAUUCUUUAUUGAAGAAUGAAUUAGGAUGGUACCGCGUGAUCAACGUUCCUAAA